GUUGCCUCGGCAGCCUCACCCUUCCUCGUGGAGUGUUUUCGAGGUUUUAGAUAUUUCGGUAGGUUUCACUCGAUUUUGCGAGAACGGGGAAAUAAGCGACGUCCACAGGGCUUUAUUUAAAAACUGCAAUCCUUCGAAUGUGGUCGACUUCGAGCGUAGGACGGCGUACAAGGUGUCUUGGGACGGUGACGCGAACACUCGAGGAGGCUAUUACGACGCCCAGAUCCUCGAACUGACGGGACUACCUGCGGCUCGGCUGUUGAUGCGGGAGGUGCUGUAGGGCCCUACUGCCUAACACUUGCUGACGAGGACAUCCUUGCAAAGAAUGAGAUCGUGGAUCCUAGCAUCGGCCUCCAGAAAAGGAAGGAAUGAUCCAUGUCGGGCAAGGUGUGCACGUCAACCAGGAAUGCGGGCAACAUGCGGAAAGCAGAGUGCGACUCCAUGUUUUGCAAGAUCACUGCUGCUUCCAUAGGGCUGCUUUUGACUACACCUGAGGGAGAAAGGUACCGCCAGGCUGAAAGGGCAGCCCGGCACCAGAAGAUACGGCGGUACCUGUCAGAAAAGCUGUCCAAUCUCAAGAGAAAUCACUACAAAGGCUCGUCCCUUUGCUGCCUGUCCUCCCCCGAUGCGUGGUCCCACCACGGACUGCCCAUGCUGUUGCAGGUCUGCCAUCGCUUGCACCCCAUGUUGUAGCCUUUUUACCCUUUUCUUCAUAUUAAUUUAGCUUAAUUUAUAUAUUGCCAAUACUAUAGAAAUGGAACAAAUGUAC
rnacentral:misc_RNA from 1 species